AAACCAGCUCCGCCCGCCGUAGCAGAGGACAGGCCCCGUUCGUGGCCUCCCCUCCCCUCCGCCCGGGUGCGACCUUCCCUGCGCUCUGGCGCGGCCUGCCCUCCCCUCUGGUGCGACCUGCUCUCUGGUACGGCCCGCCCUCCUCCAGCGCGCCUGCACUCUGCUCCGUCGGCGCAACGACCGAGCACCAGACCUCCCUCCUCUCUCCCACUAGGACGGCAGUGCAGGUGGCUAGUGUUUGAAGUUCGGUUGUAUAUUCAUUGCCGUGGAUGACGUUUUAUGUUGUAGUAGUGUAGCCGUGGCCUACAUUUAACAAUAGUAGAUAUGUAUGUACUGAUCGUGCGCUAGUAGUAACCCAGAUUUACUUUGUUCUAUCUCCCUUUGAGGAAUGAAACUGCAGAGAUAUAUUACUUUUGCUUGGAGUUCUCUGAAAAUGUUCUUUGAAAUGCUCUCUGAAAAUGUUGUUACUUUUCCUUGCUGCUUCCUUUUACAAGACUGCGCUGAAACAAUAUUAGUAGUAGUAUAUUGUUAUAGUAUACGUUCAGAUUUAGGCAGAAGAAAUAUGGUCAUUUCUGCUACUGUCCUUGGGAGUGUAUUUCCUCCAUACCUCAAAACAUGUUCAUUUCUGUUCUGUAUGGCACAUUUGCACACCUCUCUUCGCGGCACAAAAUUUAAAUUGUGCUUGUCUUGUAUAUUUGCUUGCAUGCUUGUGUAAACAAAGUGAGUAGUACAUGUGACCAUAGAUGAUAAAUACACAUAUCCUAUAAGCUAAACUGAAGCUUGCUACUUGUGUAUGAUCAGCUAUAAACAUGUAAACGUCCCCUCGGGCACCUGAAGAGGUAGCCAAUAUCGCCAUGUUGUUAUGAUCUGCUUUGUUUGUAUUGUAUCUGCAAUUUACAUUGAUCUUGUUGUCAAAGUUGGAAGUUCAGAACUUAGAAUUCCAUUUUUGUUUGUUGUACUCUCAAACCAGUAUAUUGUACGCAAUAUCUCAAGUAAAAUUCUACUCUUUUUCUACCAUUAUUAGAAAAUAUACAAUUCGCUACUGUCGCCAUUAUAGCUUACAAACUGCAGUUUCCAUUGAUGACUGUUUACAUGUACAGUAUGAGACCAUUUCUCAUGUUAGUUUGCAGGAAAAAUAAAAGAAACCGCUUUCUACAUGCAAAAGGGCAUCAAAUUUUGGAAGAAGUAUGGCGUUGAAUGAAAAAAUGAGGGAAAAAAGGAUCCUCAAGCAAAUCAAGCAAUGGAAAUCUUCCUUGGUGGAGCUAGUAAUGCAAAGCUGCAAAGCUUCAGUUUUAUGUAAUCUUGUCUAAAUUGUGAUAAUUUUAUGUUGCUGUGAACCUCUGCUGUAUUGUUAAGAUUGAACAUUUCACAAAGUCCUAUGUUGAAGCUCCUCCUUCUGUUUUUCAUUUAUGUGUACUUCUAUGGUUCAAUUUAAUGCAAACCAUUUUUGUAUGUGUGAACAUCAAAGGUUCAGUGUUAUAUUCUUGCUCAUUUUGGUGCUGGUAAGGAUCUCAUCUCAAAAUCCUAGUGCCAGCCAAACAUGAAAUUUGGAUUUGGAAUUUGGAUUCAGG
rnacentral:lncRNA from 1 species